UGUCUUUCAGGUUUGAAAAUGUAUGCAUAUGUACGAUACAUUGCUGACAAUGUCCGCAAGACUGUGUCCACAAAAGAAUUCGAAAAUUUCCAUCCCCGAAAUCUGGAUGACUUCAAUGCCAAGAAGCAGUAUAAAAUCCUCUGGAGAAGGACCCCAGAGGAAAGCGGCUCUUAUUAUUAUGGGCAAAUUUUAAAAUUGGCAGGGAUCCUGAAACAGUCUCUCCCCCAGUCUGGAGAAACAGGUCUGGAAGGAUCUGACGUGAUCACCCCAGAGCUGGACGAAGAAGGAAAAAUCAAACUUGGCCCAGGAGUUUCCCUGAACAAGGAGAAAUGGCAGAGGGUGCAGGAGGCAAAAUCAAACUCCCAAUUCUGCAAGUCGUUGGCAGUUUGCAUUUGGGGCACAGAGGGCCUGAGGGAGAGAAGCGUCACAGGGGCCAAAUCAAACGCGGUCCAAGACUCUGUCCCCAAGCGU